CCGUUCGAUCACCGAAGUUAAGCCUCGUAGAGCCAGGUCAGUACUUAGAUGGGGGACCACUUGGGAACACCUGGUACUGUAAGC